UACGUAGGGGGCUAGCGUUGUCCGGAAUCAUUGGGCGUAAAGAGCGUGUAGGCGGUCCGGUAAGUCCGCUGUGAAAGUCGGGGGCUCAACCCUCGAAUGCCGGUGGAUACUGUCGGGCUAGAGUGCGGAAGAGGCGAGUGGAAUUCCUGGUGUAGCGGUGAAAUGCGCAGAUAUCAGGAGGAACACCUAUUGCGAAGGCAGCUCGCUGGGACGUAACUGACGCUCAUGCACGAAAGCGUGGGGAGCAAACAGG
rnacentral:rRNA from 1 species